CAUAAAAUGCAUGGAGAGGAGAAGCAACAUUGAACAAGAAGGGGAGGAAGAGGGACAGUGUUGCCAGAAGAACCCUGAGGGUACCUACAUUAAGCUGGUUGGGAUGCAGAGAUGCCAAUGUUGCUGAGCAUUGUUUGCUGGUGGAUGUGGCCAAGGGCCUGAAUUUGUAACAAAUGAAGCAGAAGCAAUGUCAGAAUAAGAUCUGCAGAUUCACAUUCAUCAAAUAUUGAUUAAGAUCUAAUAGAGAUUGGGACUACAAUGCUAUCUCUUUUGUGUAAGGAACUGCCAAAUGAGGAAGCUCUUUCUACCAAUGCAGGUACAGCACGAACCAGAGGGCAGAGAGGCUGUUGGAAAAAGUCCUUGAGUAGAAGCUAGUGUUGUAGUUUGGUCCUAUAUAAUUAGAAUGUGGGUUAUGACUACGGGAAGAGAAGAAUGGUUGGAGAUGGAGAUGGACUGGUGAUGGCCUGCCUGUCAGAGAUGAAGAAACUGAAGCCCAGAGAAGUAAAAUGUCUUGC